rfam:Bradyrhizobium erythrophlei strain GAS478 genome assembly, contig: Ga0132009_11
CGCGGGGUGGAGCAGCCCGGUAGCUCGUCAGGCUCAUAACCUGAAGGUCAUAGGUUCAAAUCCUAUCCCCGCAA